GGAGGCCACUGACAGCAGCCGGGGGCACCCGGCCUCCAGGCAGUGCAGCUCCAGGCCAUCUGCAAUGGGAGCCCCGGGUGCUAAUGCAGGCAGGUUCCAGAGUCUGAGUAGGAGCCCGCUGUGCCCUUGUUUCUGACCUCUGACAAACCACCGGCCUCUUUGGGAGAUUUUAAAAACUAUGAAUAAUAAUACUUACCUCAUAGCACUAUUAUUACACAGGCUGCAACCACAGGCUCCACUACUGAGGAGGGGGUGAGGUCAUCCUGUGGAAGGAUUCGGAAGCCUGAGGCCGAGGUGAUGCAAAGUCUGCUGGGCCGGAGCCCAGUCCUGGGCAGGUGGAGCGCUCACUGUGAAGGCCCUGGGCCCAACCCCAGGACUCUGAGGAAGCGAGGGGGAGGCAGGGAGACAGACCCACACAAUACCGGUACCACAGUCUGGGGGUGGGGGUGAGUGAGUACCAGUGUGUCACCAUGAGGCGGGGCAGGAAUGUCCCCCAGGGCCCCUGUCCACUCUGCAGGCCAGGGCAUGCAGGCCGCUCAGGAGACCCCACACCAAGGGAUGCUGCCCCACCCUGUCCACGCAGCAGGCAGAGCAGAGCAACUCAGAUCCGAACAAAUGACUUCCCUGAGGAGCCCUUGCCGUCCAUGGGUCUGAGGGAGGCCUCCCUUCUAAAGCCGACCUGUGGGCCCCUGCUGUGGCCCAGCCCCACCUAACCUGGUCCCCACAUCCGGUGCCCCAGGGCACAGCUGCUCCUCCCCCACUACCCUCGCCCUGCUGAUGCCCAGCCCCAGAAGCAGCCACCAGAGUGGGGGCCUGGCUCCCCAUCUCCUCCCUUACUCCUUGAGGGCACUUCUGCCACUGCCAGGGCAGGUGGAUAAAAGCCCUGGAAGUGGGCGGCCGGAAGAGGGGGCUGGAAGUGCUGACGGCCAGGCCUGUCUGUUCCUGCGGGACCAGGGAUGAUGUGAGAGAGGAGCUUCCGCUCUCCCAGGCAGGAUUCACUCUCCCAGGAGCAGCAGCUAGGUGAGGUCACUGUCCUGCAGCACAGAGGGAGAACCCAUUGAGCAACCCAGCAGAGGUUUCCUUGCAGCGAUCCCUAGGGCUCGGGGGCAAGAGAAGACUUCUUCGCUGGCUGAGCCACACUGACCUCGCCGUUGACAGCCCGAGUGUCAGGCUCGCCUCUGCACCUCAGCCUCCUGGAGUGCUGGGGACACGGCCACAGAAAGCAAGCCUGGAACUCAUGUGGACCAACGGAGACAAACCAGCAGCAGCAGCCCUGGGAAGCCAGAGCAAGGCAGGGGGCCUUACAAUCCCAGAUUUCGAGUUACGCUAUGAACCCCAGUGAUAAAUACAUAAAUCAAACCAACAGCAACCUGCUCCUGGCCCAAAGACGGACACACGGACCCACAGGCAGAACAGAGGAUGCAGAACCAACCCCAGCGCACUCACGUGUCUGAGCUUUGACAAAAGGGCCAGAAAUGUCCAUGGAGGGAAGUUCACCUCCACCAAGACGGUGGAGGGGCCACGAAAACGAACCGGCCCAGAUCUGCUGCCAUGCACUAGACUAACAUCAGAACGGUUUAGGUGUCCCAGUGUUAAGGUGGGAACAACCUGCUGGAAGAUAAAAUGGGUAACAUUUUUUAAGACAUAGGCGUAGGCAAGGAAUUUCUGAAUAGAACCCUAAGUAUACAAGAAAUAACAUCAAGAACCAACAAAUGAUAGAAAUAAAGGAGAUGCCAGGAGUUAGCUCAGCGGUUCAAGCACUUGCCUGGUAAGCGUGAGGUCGUGAGUUCAAUCCCCAGUACCAGAAUAAAGAAGUUAAAAAAAAUUGGCAACUGAAUUGAACAGACACUUCUCAGAAGAAGGAUAAAGGCCAAUGAAUACAUGGAACAGUUUACUCUCACCUGCACUAGAGAAAUACACGUAAAUCAACACCAAGAGUCCAUCUUGCUCCAGACAGAGCGGCUGUCAACACGAAAUCCAAUCAGAACAGCUGAUGAGGCCUGGAAGAGAGGAGCCCUCUACACUGCAGGUAGGACGUAACCCAGUAUAACCGCUGUGGAAAUCAGUGCUGAGAGUCCUCGAAAUACUAAGACUAGAGGGCUGGGCAUAGAGCUCAGUGGUACAAACACCUGCCUGGCAAGUGCAGGGUCCUGAAUUCAAUUCUGGGUACAUCCCCCCCAAAAAAACCCUAAAACUAGAAAUUCCAUUCAACCCCGACAUUCCCCUUUGAUGGUAUCCUACCAAAAGAGUUAAAACUCAUCAUAUUACUGUGAUCCACGCAUACCCAUGUUUACAGCUGCAUAAUUCACAGUAGCUAAAUCUUGGAAGCUCUCUAUGUGUCCAUCAACAGAUGCAUGGACAAAGAAAAUGUGGUUUUUACACACAACAGAAUAUUACUCUGUCAUAAAAAGGGUAAGCUUGAGUCAUUUGUAGGAAAACGGAUGCACCUCAAGACCAUGAUGUAAAUGCAAUAAAUCAGACCCACGAGCUUAAAUAUCUCAUGGCUUCUCUUAUACGAGAAACCCAAAAUAUAAAGGGAAAAAUAAAAGGUAGAUCAUGGAAAAUAGGGAAAUAAAUCCUUUACAAAUGGAAGGGGGACCAAGAGAUGGGGGGGAGUGAAAAAAGAACUGAGACAUGUUAUGUGCACAUAUCCCACUCCCCACAGGAAUGUAGUCAUUACAUAGUGCAAACACGCACUAAUACAAAAUAAUAAUUCAAGAAAAAACAGAUAUGGUGGGCACACAUCUGCUAUCUCAAUACCAGAGAGGCUGAGGCAGGAGAUCUCCAGAGUUUGAAGGCAGCCUGGGCUACAUAAUGAGACCUUGAUUCAAAACAACAACAAAAUCUCCCUCCAAGAGAUGAGAAAGCUUCCAAUUCCAAAGACCACGCAGUAGGUCCCAGCACUUGGAACACAGUCUUUAAGAUCUUCCAGGCAAAACCCAUCUGGUCAAAGAAAUCAAAAGGUCAGGCCACAGGCAGGAAAGAGGGCGCUGUGCACAGCAGGGAAAGAGGAGGCGGGAGCUGCGGUCACUGUGUGCCACGGACAGCAGCGACACAGGCAGCAGAGUGCAAACCUUCACUGACCUCCCGGUAACAUCAGGACCUUCGAGGGGCUUCCGUUACAUCUCAAUAAAGGUAAGUAACAAGAAAGAGCAAACCUCUCCUCAAAGCAAAAGUAUUUGCUGUGCAAAAGAUGCUGUCAUGAGGAGGAGGAGGACAGAAGAGGGAGAAAGCACUGGCAAAGCGGGGCCCAAGGCGGGCGCCCAGGGUGCAGAGGGCGCUCGAAACCCAGCAGCAAGUGGGCAGCAAGUCGACCGAGAAGCAGGCUAAGGCCAAGCGUGGCACCGUGCAGCCACGGGCCCAGAGCUUGGGAGGCUGAGGCAGAAGGGCUGCAUGGGCCUAGGAGUUGGAAACCACCCCAGAAACAGUGACACUGGAGCAGACAUACGCUCAGCAUAGAGCUGAGAAGGGCAGGGAGGAUGCCGAACCUCGGCCUCCGGGAAAUGCACGUUAAAGCCACGGUGACUGCCACGGCAGGUGUGUCAAGGUGGCCACAGUAAAUAACACCCUGGAGCCACCAAGCGCUCCAGGAGCAGAGGGCCAGGACUCCCGUUGCUGGUGGAGCCUUCUCACCACGGCAUGGCAGUGCUUUGUAAGCAUCCACCUGCUUUGUUUGGUUCUGUGGCACCAGAAUGGAACUCGAGGCCCUCGCCCUGAGCUGCACCCGGUGCAUUUUUAUCCUGAGAUAGUGUCUCGAUAAAUUGCUAAAGUUGUCCAGGCUGGGCUCGCUCUUGGAACAUUCUGGCCUCUGCCUCCCAGAGUGCUGGGAUUACAGAUCGUACUGAGACACCACAGCACACACCUCCUACGGGACAGUCAUAGUUACCUUCAAGACCCUGAGAGCCAGGGUGCCAGUGGAUUAAAGAGGAGAGGUUGACUUUGGCUCCCAUCUCAACCCACCCGAGCAGAGAGAGGGAGGCACGGCCCUCAUCACCUUCACAGACACCCCCCUCAACAGCCUCUGUGCCCCCCAUGUGCCCUGCCUCUGAGGGCCCAGGCUUGGCUAUCGAGGAAUAAACCACGGCCCUGUACGCAUCCCUGAGAGAAGCAAAACUUCACGAACACAAGGUGUGCGUAGCAGACUCAUGAGUGUUUGCCAAAAAGUGAAUCACAGUGAAAAGUGGAUGGUUUAACCUGCCUAUCCCACGGAAUACCACCCACCCACCCACCCACAGAAAGAACCCUGAAUUUCCAAGGAAUACAAGUUCCUAGUCGAUCCUCUGAGGCAUCACAUUGAGUAGAAAGAAAAACAGCUGCCUCAGGUCUCACACAUGGUCCCGUCCACAUGAAUCAGGUGGGGUCUCGAGUGCAGUCCAGGCUGGCCUCAAGCUCGUGGGGAUCCUCCUGACUCAGCCUCCAAAGUCCUGGGGUCACAGGUAUGCGCCAUGGGCCUGGCCUUAAAACUGUAUUUAAAAGAAACGUCUGGUCCUCACAUUCCUACACAGAGGCCAGAGGAGCCGGUCAAGGACCCAGGCCCCAUGCAGAUUGUGCAGGAGGCAGCAGCUUCCCUCUGAGUGUGGCCUCAAGGUACCAGCACUCGGGUGGGCAGAGCGUCCAGCCCCAGGCCUGGGUCUCAUUCACUGCCUCCUCGGAAAGCAGCUCCCGGCUGCCCCAGAGUUGAAGAAUUUAGCAAUCGGCUGUGUUUAUUGUUGCUGUCACUUGAAAAUUAUAAGUACAUUUUUAUAAUACAAAAGGCAU